UGCCUCCAGGGCUGCACAGCCCAGCCCAAGGGCUGACCCUUGGGGCAGCGAGCUCACACGGGAGCCUGCUGGCCCCAGCCCUCCUGCAGAUGUCAGCUCCGAUUAUUUCUGCUGGCCAAUCCCUUCCUGGUGCCCUGGGGAUGCUGUGGAGCGCCAGGAACCCCUGACAGCCGGGGCCUGGCACUGCCAGCCCUGCUCCAGAGGCUCUGGGCCAUGCUCAGGGGCUCCACUCCUGCUUUUCCCUGGAAACCCCCUCCAGGUGAGGUGGGUGCCGGUUCCAAACCCGUGGCUGGGUUGGGAAUGCUGGAGUGCUUCACCCUCUGCAGAACCUGCUGGGACAGAGUCCUGCCAGCCCAGCGCUCGUUUCCCAGGGAACCAUGGAGCUGUUCACGCUGGAAAAGGCCUCCAAGAUCAAGUCCAGCUGUUGAUCAUGGAUCCAGCUGUUUGGCAGCUGAGGCCAUCCUGGAGAAGAUGCUCCUGCUGCUCCCAGAGCCAGCCCAGCAGGAUGAGGUGCCCCAGGUCCCUCCCAGGGUGAGGCUGUGCUGCUUCCCUGGCUCCUCACCCUGCAGGUGUGGGGUGCACACCUGGCACAAACACUCCCAGCAGAGAGGGCACACCCCUGGAAACCCGCACUGCUUCGCAGGGAAGUCUGUACCCAAAAGGUUUUUCAGCUCCUUGGCCUGGAAGCUAAGUCCUCCCUUCCAUUCCUUCUGGAAAAUGCAGAAAUUCCAGCAGCUCCAGGCUGGUGGGAUCAGGAACUCCUAAAUGGAGAAGAUACAUGGGAACACAGAACUUGGGGUAAUGGGAUGACAAUGAAAAAUAAAUGAACAGCUGAAGAAAAGCAGUUGCAUGUGAAAGAGAGCGCUCCUUCUCCCAGAUCUACGUUCGGGCUGAGAUCCUGGAAACAACCAAAGCCUCACCAAAUCCAGCAGCCCCAGUGCCACCCCAGCACGGCCACC